GUUGCACAACCUGUCCUGCUUUAAAUUCCACCUGCACUGAGAGUCCAUCACAGUCACAUCAAAGCCUAGAGUGCCUGUGGGGUCUGUGUGAGGUGUGAGCAGGGUGUAGAGGGGGCGAAGAGGUCCGGAGCCAGCGUCCAUUUUCAAACAAUGCUUAUUUAGGGGAGAGAGGCUGGGCUACACAACAUCAGGAUGUUUUUUCGCAUUCCUCGUCUGACCCCUGGAUAUAUCCGAUAUCUACAGAUAAAGGCAGGGCGGGGUACCGCAAAAACACAUGGCUGGCAUUUCACACCUCUUGCCAUUUGACAAAGAUAUGGAAAACAGAGGUGAUGAACCUCUACACAAAAUAAAGACACAGGCAGCUCAGACAGUGCUGCACAGUCAGGACCAGAUCCUGAUGCCACGUUUGGCCAUGCUGCUGGGAGUGAUGGGCAUCGGCAUGUCGGGGUACAGCUCGCGACAACUCACCCUCCACCACAAGCCGUCUCCUCGCUUCCUGCACUGAGAGAGCACCACUGAAAAUACAAGACGUCCAGGGAUACGACUGAGAAAUGUUCAUAUCUGUAUUUUCUGUUUUCUGACAUUCAUGCCCAGAGUCAAAAUUUUUGUAAAGGUAUUGAACUAAUUGGUAAAAGUCCAAAUGAAGCUUUCAACUUGACGUACAAAAUCUUUGCAAAUUAUUCUGAUCCUUUUGCAAGAUCACUGAUUGGUCACUACCUGAUCUCCCAAAUCCAACUAUAUCCAACUAUGCCCCAUACAAUACAAUACUGCAGAACCACUAAAUAUCUUCAGAUCACCUCUUAUACCGCCUUUUAAAAUUUACGAAUGAGAAAAGUUCUUAAUCUGUACUGUUACAUAUUUCAUAUCAACAAAUCUGUUGCAACAAAAUAUACUGUAUGCAUUUCUUCCCUCAAAAUUGAAUCAGUCCUUGUGCCUUAUGGUCACUAUAGCAACCUCUGGGUAAUCUAAAAGGGCUUAGUUCAGAAAAUUCUUGCUUUGGUGAGUUCAUCGUACGUAGAAAAUCCCCAGCUUCGACUUUAACAGCAGGGAGCGUGGAUAAACAGUCUGCAAGCUGUUUUGAGCCCUAAUGCUGUUGCAGUGCUGGCAUUUAACAUGGAAAAUCGUGUCACAGGUUAAACCUCCUUCACAGGUCAAAUGCAAGAUGCUGACCAGAGGUUUGGGCCCAUCCUCAGACUUAUAUAAUAAUAAAUAAUAUGCUACCUUCUCA
rnacentral:lncRNA from 1 species